AACUAACGAGGAUUCCCUUAGUAGCGGCGAGCGAAACGGGACCUAGCCCAUCGUCGAAUCCUGCGGCCCCGGCGGGCCGCCGGGAAAUGUGACGUCAGGGAGGAGAGUUAAAAUUUAAACGCGCUGUCAUUAGUCACGUCCGCCCGUCCAAGUUCAUCUUGAACGGGGCCGCUUGCCCGCAGAGGGUGCCAGGCCCGUAGCGACGGUGGACGGCAGCGACGGUCUCUCUCCCGAGAGUCGGGUUGCUUGAGAGUGCAGCCCUAAGCGGGUGGUAAACUCCAUCUAAGGCUAAAUACGACCACGAGACCGAUAGCGAACAAGUACCGUAA
rnacentral:rRNA from 1 species